AUCAUCAUGAGACCAGUAAACUUAGCACCACAGGCUACGUGUCAAAUUUUAACAGGAAAUGACUCAGAUCUAGAGCAAAGUUAGUCCCAUGCACAACGAAAUGUUAUGCAAGACAAAAACGACCCGUGUUAAAUAUCACACACAAUGAGGUGAUGUAUUGCUCAAGAAGCUAGCAGAGGAUCAAUCUCUGUAAGAGGCAGAUCAUUGUCUCACUUGGGAAAAGGCUUUCCAUUGCUACACAUAGACAUGGUCACCUUCUGAGUUACUACCCGAAAUGCAUUUACCUUACACCUGCAAACCAGAAAAACCUUUCUCAGGUGCUUGUAGUUCAUUAUUCCUUUUUUUCAACUCUAUCUUCCAGGUCAUGAUGUUCCUAGAGAGGAUCACCUGAGGAGACUGAAUGUUGAUGAACUUCCCAAGUAUUCAGGAGGGGGCUGCACUUGGGUCCAGGAGCUGAGACACACAAAAGGCUACAGCCUAGCUCUGUGCAAAUGCACCUGGGGAAGCAGCAGAAGAUGGCUCAAGUGUGUGGACCCCUGCACCCGUGUGGGAGAUCCUGAUGGAGUUCUAGGCUCCUGGCUUAAGUUUGACCUAUCCCCAGUUAUUGUAUGACCAUUUGAGGAGUGAAACAGCAGAUGGAAGAUCUCUCUCUUUCUCUAGCUGCUUUCAAAUAAAUAAAUAAAUAAAUCUUAAAAAAUAAACAAAAUGAUUCUCAGUUAUAAUACCAGCUUUCAUCUUUGCAAAAUGGCAUACAUGCAAAGUGACUCAUGGUUUUACUGCAGUACUGUUUAGAGUAACAAAUGACUAGGAAUGUAUGAAGUAUUCAUUAAUAGGGGAUUAAUUAAAUAAGUAAUGUUAAAACCACAUGAACAGGUACCCAAGCGGAAAAGCAAGAUACAGGGCAGGGUAUAAAGGAUGUUACCCCUUGUGAAAACAAAAAGUAUGUAUAUGUUUGUGUCGGGGAGAGAUAUGUUUAUUUCAUAUUUGCUUGCUUAGGAAGCAAGAAUACCUAGGGAAGAAUACUCAAGAAACUAAUUAGGAGGCUGGCACUGUGGAGUAGUAGGCUAAGCCUCCACCUGUGCUGCUGGCAUUCCAAAUGGGUGCUGGUUUGUGUCCUCACUGCUCCUCUUUGGAUCCAGCGCUUUGCUUGUGGCCUGGGAAAACACUGGAAGAUGGCUCAAGUGCUUGGGAGACCUGGAAGAAGCUCCUGCUUCUGGCUUCAGGGCCAGCGCUGUGGUGCAGCAGAUUAAAGCCCUGGCCUGAAGUGCUGACAUCCCAAAUGAGUGCCAGUUCUAGUCCCAGCUGUUCCACUUCCAAUCCAGCUCUCUACUAUGGCCUGGGAAAGCAAUAGAAGAUGGCCCAAGUCCUUG